ACCUUCGUGGUGUAGUGGUCAGUACGCUCGACGCGUAACCGAGAGGUCCGUGGUUCGAUUCCCGGCGAAGGCG
rnacentral:tRNA from 1 species